UGGGGAUAAGCGGCAGGCUACACAUGCAAGUCGAGGGGUAACGUGAGUGCUUGCACUUGACGACGACCGGCGCACGGGUGCGGAACGCGUAUGGAACCUACCUUUAUCAGGGGGAUAGCCCAUGGAAACGUGGAUUAAUACCCCAUAGUAUUAUUUCAUUGCAUAAUGAUUUAAUUAAAGAAUUUCGGAUAGAGAUGGCCAUGCGUAUCAUUAGCUAGUAGGCGAGGUAACGGCUCACCUAGGCGACGAUGAUUAGGGGUCCUGAGAGGGAGAUCCCCCACACUGGUACUGAGACACGGACCAGACUCCUACGGGAGGCAGCAGUGAGGAAUAUUGGGCAAUGGAGGCAACUCUGACCCAGCCAUGCCGCGCGCAGGAAGACGGCCCUAUGGGUUGUAAAUUGCUUUUAUACAGGAAGAACACCACCCACGUGUGGGUGACUGACGGUACUGUAAGAAUAAGGACCGGCUAACUCCGUGCCAGCAGCCGCGGUAAUACGGAGGGUCCAAGCGUUAUCCGGAAUCAUUGGGUUUAAAGGGUCCGUAGGCGGGCUAAUAAGUCAGAGGUGAAAGUUUGCAGCUCAACUGUAAAAUUGCCUUUGAUACUGUUAGUCUUGAGUUAUAGUGAAGUGGUUAGAAUAAGUGGUGUAGCGGUGAAAUGCAUAGAUAUCACUUAGAAUACCGAUUGCGAAGGCAGAUCACUAACUGUAUACUGACGCUGAGGGACGAAAGCAUGGGUAGCGAACGGGAUCAGAUACCCCGGUAGUCCAUGCUGUAAACGAUGGAUACUAGCUGUUGGCUUCGGUCAGUGGCUAAGCGAAAGUGAUAAGUAUCCCACCUGGGGAGUACGUUCGCAAGAAUGAAACUCAAAGGAAUUGACGGGGGCCCGCACAAGCGGUGGAGCAUGUGGUUUAAUUCGAUGAUACGCGAGGAACCUUACCAGGGCUUAAAUGUAGAUUGCAUUAGCUGGAGACAGCUAUUUCUUCGGACCAUCUACAAGUGCUGCAUGGUGUCGUCAGCUCAUGCCGUGAGGUGUCAGUAGUCCUAUACGAGCGCACCCCUGUUGUUAGUUGCAGCAUGUAAAGAAUGGACCUCUAGCAGACUGCGUGCAAACGCGAGGAGGUGGGGAUGACGUCAUCAUCACGGCCCUACGUCUGGGCUA
rnacentral:rRNA from 1 species